UUUCUCCCUGCACUUUUUCAAGCGUUUUCAAGUGAAUGUGUUCUCUCCAUCCUUCCCCUAGGUGAAGGUGGAGGAGGAAGAUGAGGAAGGGUCCGUGGAGGAACUGGAGGAAGAGGAGGAGGAGGAGAACUGGGAGAAAGCCCUGUCUGUGGAGCGCUUUGGAGACAUCAUCAGUGACUCUGCUUCUACCAGUGGAGACAGGAUGGGUCGUCACUACACUGAGAAAGACUUUGAAUAUCACAGACACUCAUUUCACCAUACGCACCACCCCUUAUCCACCCACCUGCCCCUGGCCCAGCGUUUACGCAAGAGGGUGCACAGCACGGACAGAAGGCGCAAGAAGAAACAGAAGAAAAGGAAGACCUCUCUGCCCCCCUCCGAUGUUACACCCACCAUCCACGAGGUAGACGAGGAAGAGGCUGAGUCUGAGACGGAGGGACAGGGAGUGGCUGUCCCCCCCGCAGAGCUACCUGACAUCCAACCACAGUUUAGUUUGGGGAGCCAAGAGGACUUGGAGGAACCUCUCCCGCUCACUGCCUUCCACAAGGAAAACGAAGAACAUCCAUUGUCGAGGCGAGCCGCACCCCACAGCCCUACUUUAAAUUCACCAAUAUCUGUGCUUUCUGUCAGUGUUCCCCCAGGAUCACAUCCCUCGAGAUUAAACACGACCCGCGGCUGGUUCCAUAGGAAGCCCGUCCACCAUCGUGUGGCGAGCGCCCAGCGGAGCAACUAUGACCUGCGGGAGCGGAUCUGCAUCGGCAGCAUGACGGCUCUGGAGACGGCCGUCUACCAGCAGGUGCCCACUGAUGAGGCUGAGGCCCAGAUGUUGGCCAGCGCCGACCUGGAUGACAUGAAAAGUCACAGAUUUGAGGACAACCCUGGCGUGAGACGCCACUUGGUAAAGAAGUCCUCACGAUGUCUGGUGACCCGAGGCAGCAACAGUUCCAUACCACUGAGCAGCCUGAAGAAGAAGAAGAGAGCAGCAGAUAAGAAAACACAUGAGUUGUUUGUAGAGCUGAACGAGCUAAUUGUGGAUAAGGACCAUGAAAUGCGUUGGAAGGAGCGGGCCCGCUGGAUCAAGUUUGAGGAGGAUGUGGAGGAGGAGACAGACCGCUGGGGCAAACCACAUGUGGCCUCUCUCUCCUUCCGCAGCUUGCUGGAGCUCCGCCGCACCAUCACACACGGUGCCAUCCUUCUGGACCUGGAGCAGAACUCUCUGCCCGGGAUCGUCCAUCUGGUGGUGGAGACGAUGAUCAUCUCUGAUCAGAUCAGAGCCGAGGACAGAGCCGGUGUUCUCCGGGCUCUGCUUCUCAAACACAGCCAUCCAAGCGAUCUGAAACAUUUUUUUCACCGCCACCACUCAUCCAGCAGUCUUCAUGGCAGCUUCAAUCACAACAACGUCCCGGACCCCAAUCUGCCGCUGGUGGCCGAAGAGCAGGAGGAGCAUCCGGAUAGCAAAGGGCCGAAAUCUCUCCACCCUCUGCCUCCUGAGAGCCAUCCAGCUGCAGCCAGAUCGCUGAAACUCCUCGCCAAGAUUCCCAAAGAUGCCGAAGCUGUUAUUGUUUUAGUUGGCUGUGUGGAGUUUCUGGAGCAGCCGGCCAUGGCCUUUGUCAGGUUGAAUGAGGCAGUCCUUCUGGAGUCCGUGCUGGAGGUCCCCGUCCCUGUCCGCUUUAUUUUCGUCCUGCUUGGUCCCACCCAGUCCAACGUGGACUAUCAUGAGAUUGGACGCUCCUUCUCCACUCUCAUGUCUGACAAGAACUUCCAUGAGGUGGCCUAUUUCGCUGACGACAGACAGGACCUCCUGAAUGGUAUCAAUGAAUUCUUGGACUGCAGCAUCGUCAUUCCACCGUCAGAUGUGGAGGGCAAAGACCUCCUGAAGACAGUGGCCGACUUCCAGAAGCAGAUGCUGCGCAAGAGAAAGGAAAGAGAAUUCAAGAGGCACACAUCCACAGUGGGAAUGGAGUUGAACAAUAAAGAGGUGAGUCCAGAGGAGGAGGAGGAGGAAGACCAGGAGGUCGACCCAUUAAAACGCUCAGGGAUCCCUUUCGGAGGCCUGAUCCACGACAUCCGCCGCCGCUACCCGCAGUAUGUCAGCGACCUCAAAGAUGCGUUGGACAUGCAGUGCGUUGCCGCCGUCAUCUUCAUCUACUUUGCUGCGCUGUCGCCCACUAUCACCUUCGGAGGCCUGCUGGGAGAAAAAACAGAGGGCAUGAUGGGAGUGACUGAGCUUAUUGUGUCUACUGCAACUCUUGGAGUUUUAUUCUCGCUGCUUGGUGGUCAACCCCUCCUCAUCAUAGGCUUCUCAGGACCCUUACUGGUGUUUGAAGAAGCCUUCUACAAGUUCUGUCAGGCCCAAGACUUUGAGUACCUGACUGGCCGUGUGUGGAUUGGUUUCUGGCUCAUCUUCAUCGUCCUGGUGAUUGUGGCAGCAGAGGGCAGCUUCCUCGUUCGCUACAUCUCACCCUUUACCCAGGAGAUUUUUGCUUUCCUCAUCUCCCUUAUCUUCAUUUAUGAGACUUUUUCGAAACUCUUCAAGGUGUUUAAGGAACAUCCACUGAUGUCAAUGUACCCCAGUGACUCCACCCCAGCUACUGAGCUUCAACACGCUGAUGGCCCCAUCUUAAACCAGCCCAACACUGCUCUUAUGUCUAUGGUCCUCAUGAUGGGCACUUUCUUAGUGGCUUUCUUCCUCAGGAAAUUCAGAAACAGUCGGUUUUUAGGUGGCAAGGCCAGAAGAAUCAUUGGUGACUUUGGCAUCCCCAUCUCAAUUUUAUUUUCAGUGUUGGUGGAUUACUCCAUUACUGACACGUACACACAGAAACUGAAUGUGCCGCCGGGCUUCUCCGUCACCUCCCCUGACAAGAGAGGCUGGUUCAUCAGUCCCUUUGGGGACAAGCGUCCCUUUCCCACCUGGAUGAUGGGAGCAUCCAUUGUACCUGCCAUUCUCGUCUUCAUCCUCAUUUUCAUGGAAUCUCAGAUCACUUCAUUGAUAGUCAGUAAGAAGGAGCGUCGCUUGGUCAAAGGCUCGGGCUUCCACCUGGAUCUCCUGCUCAUCGUCAUCCUGGGUGCCAUCUGUUCUCUCUUCGGCCUGCCGUGGCUCACGGCGGCCACUGUGCGCUCCGUCACUCAUGUCAACGCCCUCACCGUGAUGAGCAAGGCCACGGCGCCCGGCGAGAAGCCCAUGAUCCAGGAGGUGAAAGAACAGAGGCUGACCGGCCUUCUUGUGGCUGUUCUUGUUGGUAUGUCUAUAGUGAUGACAAACGUGCUCCGCCUCAUUCCUCUGGCUGUGCUCUUUGGCAUCUUCCUGUACAUGGGGGUCACCUCUCUGACAGGCAUCCAGCUGUAUGAACGCAUCACACUGAUGGUCACGCCAGCCAAGCAUCACCCUGACCACAUCUACGUCACCAAGGUGAAGACAUGGCGUAUGAACAUGUUCACCAUCAUCCAGUUGGCGUGCAUCGUGGCUCUGUGGGUAGUGAAGUCUACCAACGCCUCGCUGGCGUUCCCCUUCGUCCUCAUCAUGACGGUGCCGCUGCGCCGCCUCAUCCUGUCCAGGAUUUUCGAGGAACGUGAGCUCCAGGCGCUGGAUUGCGACGAGGAUUCUCCCAACUUUGAUGAAGAUGGACGAGAUGAGUACAACGAGAUCCACAUGCUUGUAUAAAUUUAAAAUUGGACCCAGUCAGUAGGACUUCCUCCGCCCUCCAGCUCGGACCAAUCAGAGCAAGUCUCUUCGGAAACCUCUGCGUUUCUGGGUAAUGGUGACACAUCCAAAGGGAGCUACCGUAAUGGUGUUUGUAAAAUAUACCAAAAGCUAUGGCUGGAUGAUCACUUCUUACCUUUAGUUUAUUCCAGUAAAGAGCACCCCUUCUGUUAGAUCUCUGUGGUGGUGGUGAUAUGUUACACUCCCUGAGGCCAGAAAAUAACUGAGCACCCUACCUGAAGUGGACUAAACUAGCAACACUGACAUGAACACUUUAUCCAACGUUUUAUCCUAUUUAUCCCUUUAAUUAGUCUGCAGGUUCUGGGCAUAAGUGCAAUGAUGUUGGUGAGCUCUAGGACUACAGCAGGUUGGAUCAUUUAUUUAGACUUAUUUUUGUCCUGGAAGCGGGAAAUAGGGUCAAUUUGCUUUCAUUUCAUUUAAUUCAGGAAGCAGAUUUUAAUCAAAAUUCAUAAUUGUUCAUGUGAAUUGACCCUAAAACUCAAAGCCCAGAAUUCCACUCUGUCUGUUUCGUUUAGCUGCCUUUUUUCCUUUAAACUACUGCCAUUUCCUAUAUUUUGCAAUGAUGUGCAAACAAGGAGUUAAGUAGUCCCUUUCCUUUCUGUACAGACUUUUAGUAAUGAGCACUUUGACUGGGCAAAAGUUCACUUUUUUUUUCUGCCAACUGAGCUCCCUGGCACAAAGCCUCCUCUCUAAAUGUAGUCUCCCCUUGAAGCCAAAAUCUCUGCAGAGACUGUGCAAGCCUCUUCAAAGGGCUGUUACUGUACUUUGUUAGGUGUUUAAUGGCCAACAUGCCAGUCCACUGACCCCCACUAUUGUCACCUUGGAUGUAUAAGUAAAUAGCUAAAAUGGUGUCAAC
rnacentral:lncRNA from 1 species